AAGAAGCAGUGCAGCUUGACGGGGUUGUGUUUCGGAGGACGCUUGGCUCUCGACCUUCGCUUCUCCCAAACCCGUACUGGAGUUGCAGCGAUGGGACUAGACUGUAACUACCAAUUGGAUAUCACAACAUUUGGCAGAAAAAAAGGAUGAACUUGGUACCUUCAGGUGUUUGGAAAUUGCUCCCAAGGAUGAACCAGACUUGUGGAGGUCUACAAUGUUUUUUCUGAGGUCUUGGCUGAUUUCUUUUGAUUUUCCAAUGAUGCCAAGCAAAGAGGCACUGAGUUUAAAGAAACACUUUGGCCAGCAGGGCACACUACUGGAAGACCCCUCAGCAUGGUUAUCCCUAAAAGCAGCUAAUGGAUUGAACAUUUCAUAUUUGUGACUCCAGGUUAAAAGUGAAAUCCUGGUGUGGGGUCGGACCAGAGCGGGAGAAGAGGGCAAGAACUACCAGUGUCUAGUGGAGCCAAUCAUUGAGAAUGAGUUGCUCAUCACCCAAGCUGUGUUCAGAGUCCAGCAGGGAAGGCUGCCUAUCCGACUGAGGAACGUUGGAGACUGCCCUACGUCGACACCAAAAACUUGCCAUGGCCUUCAUAGUGAACCCUGCAGACGUCAUAUAAGAGAAUGAUCUUCUGUUGUUACAUAAUCGUUACAGAAAGCAUUGAUUCAAGGUAUGUUGAACUCAGGAAUAGUUAACCCAUGCACUAGACCAUGGGCAGCCCCUAUUGUUUUGGUUAGAAAGAAGGAUAGCAUAUUGAGAUUUUGUGUGUACUAUCGUAAAUUAAGCCAAACUAAAGUCACAAACCCACAAUGGUGCUUACCCACUCCCUCGUAUAUAGGAAUCUCUAGCCAGUUUGACCAAAGCCAAGUACUUCUCAACUUUAGACCUUGCUAUUGGCAGGCCCAGAUGUCUCCAGCACAUUAUGGAAAAGACUGCCUUUACAACUCCAAUGGAUUUGUUCGAGUUUGCUUGGAUGCCAUUUGGGGUUAUGCAACUGGCCUUCUGGCCUUGAUCCAAACAUGUUUAGGAUAGCAAACUCUAGAAUCUCUUUUGAUCUAUCUGGAUGAUGUUAUUGUGUUUUCUAAAUAUCUACAUCAGCCCAUCUAAAUCACAUGGAUUUAGUGUUCAGCAGACUAGCUAAGUAUGGACUCUGAAACCAAACAAAUGCAUCUUUCUGAAGCAAGAAGUACAGUACCUGGGGCAUCGGGUAUCUCCUGAAGGAGUAUCAUCAGACCCGGACAAGGUCAAGUGUGUGUGCAGGACUGGCCCACACCCAAAACGGUAAAGGAACUUCGGUCAUUUCUUGGCUUAGCAGGAUACUACCGUAGAUUUGUAAAGGACUUUGCCAGAGUGCCAGCCCCUUACUUGAGCUGUUAACAGGGUUGGCCCCUAAACAAACGAGAACGUCUCUCGACUCUCCUACCCACACUGGCUGGAAUCAGGCAUGUAAUAUGUCUUUUGCAAUCUUAAAACGGUCCCUCACUACCUCUCCAACUCUAGCUGACAUCUGUAUACAGAUGCCAGUAAGAGAGGCUUGGGGGCAGUUCUAGCCCAGGUACAAGAGGGUAAAGAACAGGUAAUCUCAUUUGCAAGUAGAAGCCUCCAUCCCUCAGAAGGAAAUUACAGUAACUAUAGCUCACUUAAACUUGAAUUCCUUGCACUGAAGUGGGCCGUCACUGAAACGUUUGCAGAAUACCUCAAUGCCUCACCUAUUGUGGUUUAUACAGGCAAUAAUCCUCUGGUACAUCUAAACUCAGCUAAAUUGGCAAGCAGAGAUGUGUAGCCAGAUUGGCAAGUAUUGUGUAGGACGUAAUAACCAGAGUGCAGAUGCCUUGUCUCGUUUCCAUCCAGAAAACACAGUCCCAAACCAGCUGGAGGACUGAGACCUGGCAUUCCAGGAGAUGCCACCCAAAGUGGUAAAGGCCCUGUUGGUGGGGUUGGGGUGGAGGACAAACAAGCUGUCAGAAGACCAGGAUGCAGAAGAAGGACACAGCAAGCCCCUCAUACCAGAGAUAACUGGCUCAGAGGAAGAGCCUUUAAGAACCGCACUGUGCUUUCUAUCUUCUCAUACUUAUAAGAGAAAAAUCACAGGAUCAUUAAGGUUACACUUUUACAUGAUCUCCAUCAGAGAUCCAUUCCUGUUACUGAAACAUGGUAUAGUACUUUAAGAGUUUUAAAUGAAAAUGUGAGAUAGUUACAAAACUGAAAUGUUGUUAUAUGGUAGGCCUAGUUUACAUGUACAUUCAAAAACCUUUCCAAUAACAGUAGAUGUCUAAAUGUGUGCUGUGUUAACACAGGUCAGGCAGGGUUUCCAUAAAGAAUUCUUAAACACUCCCACUGGGCACACAGUGGUUGAAUCAACAUUGUUUCCACGUCAUUUCAAUUAAAUUACGCUGAACCAACAUGGAAUAGCCAUUGAACUGACGUCUGUGCCCAGUGGGCUGUGACUUCUGGGAGAGGAUGAGGGCAGCCACCUGACAGACAGGAACGAGAGUCGAAAGAGGCCCUAGAUGUGCUCCGGGAAUGGAAUCAUCUUACAUGGAAAGAGGGUGUGUUGUGUCGGACAUUCCAGGACCUCAAAGAGGUAGAGCCGAUUGUCCAGCUGGUUGUCCCUACUGGUGAGAGACAGCUGGGAACUGUAUCAUGGGAGGGCAGGCUACUGGGAGGCAGAAAAGACCACAGCGCUAAUCCAUGCCAGAUUCUAUUGGCCAAACCUAGCCAGAGACAUUCCAAAUUGGUGUGCCACUUGUCAGCUUUGUGUCUUACGAAAGCCCCAGUUUGUCUGAAACAAGCACCUUCAGUGCCAAUCAAAAUGUCAGCCCCUCUUGAACUAAUGUCUAUAGACUACCUGAGCAUAGGUCAUCCAGAGACCUUCAUCACAACGUGCUGGUAAUGGUAGACCAUUUCACUAAAUAUACUUGGGCCACCCCUACUAGGGACCAGACGGAGACUACUACUGCAAAUGCACUGUGGCAGAAGGUAAUUCAGCCUUUUGGUGCUCCCUGGCGCUUAUUGGACAUUUUGAAUAUCAGUUUAUAAAGAAUCUAUGUGUAUUGUAUGGAAUAACCAAAAGUCACACUACUCCUUAUCAUCCAUCAGGGAACGGCGGGUGUGAAAGAUUUAAUAGAACGACCAUAGGUUUGCUGGGGACGCUUGGAGUGGAAAGACGGAAAAACGGCGCUGGCAUUUCCUGCAGGAAAUGAUUGAGAUAUACAACAACACAUUGCACAACCCUACAGGAUAUACUGUACACCUGCUGAGGAAUCCCCUCUGCUGCCUGGGGAGUAGACACUCAUGAGAGACAUUAGAGCGAGGGGCCGGGGUGCUGAGCCGGAAGCUGGAGAUGGGUGCCAUGGUGAUGCAGAGAAACUAUGAGCGGGAGAUGGGUGCCAUGGUGAUGCAGAGAAACCAUGAGCGGGAGAUGGGUGCUAUCAUGCCACGGAAGACUGCAGGUGGGAGAUGGGUGUCCGUGGGACUCCAAUCUGAAGAUGGGGACCGCUGUGGCAGGGCUGAAAAUGGCCAAUGUAACCUUCAUGAACCAAGAGAUCUACAAGGACCACCAAGGGAGUUCACCCCAUAAGAAACAGAGACUUAGGUUAAACGGUUUUGUUAUGUUAUGGCCAUUGGGGACACUGACCUUUCAGCGGGGAAGGAUGUAACAGGGUUCUACAAACCUGCUUAACGUUAUUACUUCUGUCACUAGUGUGGUUUGACUGAGCACAUAUUUUACUUCCUUCACUUGACUGUUUUCACAUUUUGAAUUAUUUGCACGAUUGAGAAUUCUGCACUUAACGUUUGAUUUUGCGCACGUCACCAUGGUUUGCUGUGUUUCAUGAUCGAUUUAAGGUGUGUACAGUGCUGGUUACACCCCUCUCUCUCUCUCUCUCUCUCUUUCUCUUUCUUUCUCUUCCUACAUAAUGAUCUCCAGUCAGUUCUCUGGUAACAAUGUCUGAAACCAGGUGUUUCUGUUAAGGUUGGUCCGCAAUCCUUUUCCUCGUGGUCGUGUGCCCUAUUGUAUAAUUAUUGUAAUGCUGUCUGAUAUCGGGUGUAUGUGGCAAGGUCUGUGCUGGGCCGCAACUGGAUCGUUGGAAACCCUGAGCUGCCUGUGAGCUAUCCACGCAACUGUUGAUGCUACUGUAGAUACUGCCGCUGAGCAGCUACUGAGCUACUAAAUGAACUGAGCUCAACUUGAAUGUGCGCAGUACGUGAAGCAGACUACGGUGGGCCGCUCUGCUUGAACACUCCAACAGCAACGGAGGAACUGAACUAGCCUACUGGACUGCUGGCAAUCCUUUUUAAUCAAGAACCUUUUUUGUGACUCCCUUUCCUCUUCCCUUAGAAUAUUUCAUCAAUAUUGUUGUUUUGAAUAGAGCAUGGGUGUGGUUUCUCUUGGUCAUCCGGGUGUCAAUGCUCAAACCUGGUUUAUUCUGAAAGUAUUUGCGUCUAGUCUCGCCCCAACACAUACCGUUCCUUAUAGAAGCACCUGGUUUAGUGAUUGUUGUGAUCAGUGUCUAGGCAGCAGAAUCCUCAUAACAUAUUUCCAAGCUCUUUGAUAUAUCUGGAUGAUGGUUGGUUCUUAAGUGGAGCUUGUACAGACGUGCUACAAUUUGUUAGUACCCCUCCACAAAAAAAAAUGAAGAAUGCACAACUUUCUCUGAAAUAACUUGAAACUGACAAAAGUAAUUGGCAUCCACCAUUGUUUAUUCCAUAUUUAAUUGAAAUCAGACCUUGAUUUUUUUAUUCAACAUUAUAUUGUAAAAAAAAACAAAUGAAAAUGGCAUGGGCAAAAAUGAUGGGACCCUUCACCUAAUAUUUUGUAGCACAACCUUUAGAGGCAAUCACUGCAAUCAAAUGUUUUCUGUAGCUCUCAAUGAGAUUUCUGCACCUGUUAACAGGUAGGUUGGCCCACUAUUCCUGAGCAAACUGCUCCAGCUGUCUCAGGUUUGAUGGGUGUCUUCUCCAGACUGCAAUUUUCAGCCCUUUCCAUAGAGCUUUCUGACACUGGGCAGUACGUUUCACUCCAGAAUGCCUUGAUGGUCUUGAUUUCAUUGUGCCCUGCACAGAUUCAAGGCACCCUGUGCCAGGCGCAGCACCAAAACAUAACUGAGCCGCCUCCAUGUUUCACUGUAGGUAUGGUGUUCUUUCUUUGAAAGCUUCAUUAUUUUUUGUCUCUGAACACAGAGCUGAUGUGACCUGCCAAAAAUAUCAAAUUUUGACUCAUCUGUCCGAAGGACAUUCUCCCAGAAAGAUUGUGGCUUGUCAAUAUGCCUCUUAGCAAAUUCCAGUCUGGCUUUGUUUUUCUUUCACAAGUAGUCCUCCGGGGUCUUCUUCCAUGGAGCCCACUUUUGCUCAGAAAGCGACUGAUGGUGCGUUCAGAAACUGACGUACCUUCACCCUGGAGUUCAGCUUGCAUCUCGUUGGCAGUUAUCCUUGGUUCUUUUUCUACCAUUCACACUCUCCUUCUGUUCAAUCUGGGGUUGAUUUUCCUCUUGCUGCCGCGCCCAGGGAGGUUGGCUACAGUUCCAUGGACCUUACACUUCUUAAUAAUAUUUGUAAAUGUUGUCACAGUAACAUCAAGCUGCUUGGAGAUGGUCUUGUAGCCUUUACCGUUACCAUGCUUGUCUAUUAUUUUAUUUCUGAUCUCCUCAGACAAAUCUCUCCUUCGCUUUCUCUGGUCCGUGUUCAGUGUGGUGACCACAAUGAUACCAAACAGCACAGUAACU